rnacentral:rRNA from 1 species
UACGUAGGGGGCAAGCGUUGUCCGGAAUCAUUGGGCGUAAAGCGCGCGUAGGCGGCCCUGUAAGUCCGCUGUAAAAGUCAAAGGCUCAACCUUUGAAAGCCGGUGGAUACUGCAGGGCUAGAGUCCGGAAGAGGCGAGUGGAAUUCCUGGUGUAGCGGUGAAAUGCGCAGAUAUCGGGAGGAACACCGGUGGCGAAGGCGGUUCUCUGGGCCUUACCUGACGCUGAGGAGCGAAAGCGUGGGGAGCGAACAGG